rnacentral:rRNA from 2 species
UGCAGUCGAACGAUGAACCUCACUUGUGGGGGGAUUAGUGGCGAACGGGUGAGUAACACGUGAGUAACCUGCCCUUGACUCUGGGAUAAGCCUGGGAAACCGGGUCUAAUACUGGAUACGACCUUCUGGCGCAUGCCAUGUUGGUGGAAAGCUUUUGUGGUUUUGGAUGGACUCGCGGCCUAUCAGCUUGUUGGUGGGGUAAUGGCCUACCAAGGCGACGACGGGUAGCCGGCCUGAGAGGGUGACCGGCCACACUGGGACUGAGACACGGCCCAGACUCCUACGGGAGGCAGCAGUGGGGAAUAUUGCACAAUGGGCGCAAGCCUGAUGCAGCGACGCCGCGUGAGGGAUGAAGGCCUUCGGGUUGUAAACCUCUUUCAGUAGGGAAGAAGUCCAUCCUUUUGGGGUGGGUGACGGUACCUGCAGAAGAAGCGCCGGCUAACUACGUGCCAGCAGCCGCGGUAAUACGUAGGGCGCAAGCGUUAUCCGGAAUUAUUGGGCGUAAAGAGCUCGUAGGCGGUUUGUCGCGUCUGCCGUGAAAGUCCGGGGCUUAACUCCGGAUCUGCGGUGGGUACGGGCAGACUAGAGUGCAGUAGGGGAGACUGGAAUUCCUGGUGUAGCGGUGAAAUGCGCAGAUAUCAGGAGGAACACCGAUGGCGAAGGCAGGUCUCUGGGCUGUAACUGACGCUGAGGAGCGAAAGCAUGGGGAGCGAACAGGAUUAGAUACCCUGGUAGUCCAUGCCGUAAACGUUGGGCACUAGGUGU